UACGAGGGGGGCUAGCGUUGUUCGGAAUUACUGGGCGUAAAGCGCGCGCAGGCGGUCUUCCAAGUCAGUGGUGAAAGCCCGGAGCUCAACUCCGGAACUGCCAUUGAAACUGUUAGACUUGAGGAUGAGAGAGGUGAGUGGAAUUCCCAGUGUAGAGGUGAAAUUCGUAGAUAUUCGGAAGAACACCAGUGGCGAAGGCGGCUCACUGGACUGGUAUUGACGCUGAGGUGCGAAAGCGUGGGGAGCAAACAGG
rnacentral:rRNA from 1 species